rnacentral:rRNA from 1 species
UACAGAGACUGCAAGCGUUAUCCGGAUUCACUGGGUUUAAAGGGUGCGUAGGCGGGUAAGUAAGUCCGUGGUGAAAUCUCUGAGCUUAACUCAGAAACUGCCGUGGAUACUAUUUGCCUUGAAUAUUGUGGAGGUGAGCGGAAUAUGUCAUGUAGCGGUGAAAUGCUUAGAUAUGACAUAGAACACCAAUUGCGAAGGCAGCUCACUACACAAUCAUUGACGCUGAGGCACGAAAGCGUGGGGAUCAAACAGG